AGUGUGAACCAGACCAAGUAGCGUGACAGGAUGGACGGCCCAGGGGUGGUAAACUGCUUUUGUUGGGGAGUAAACGGGGCACGUGUGCCCCUUUGCAUUUACCCUUCGAAUAAGGACCGGCUAAUUCCGUGCCAGCAGCCGCGGUAAUACGGAAGGUCCAGGCGUUAUCCGGAUUUAUUGGGUUUAAAGGGAGUGUAGGCGGUCUGUUAAGCGUGUUGUGAAAUUUAGGUGCUCAACAUCUACCUUGCAGCGCGAACUGGCGGACUUGAGUGCACGCAACGUAUGCGGAAUUCAUGGUGUAGCGGUGAAAUGCUUAGAUAUCAUGACGAACUCCGAUUGCGAAGGCAGCGUACGGGAGUGUUACUGACGCUUAAGCUCGAAGGUGCGGGUAUCGAACAGGAUUAGAUACCCUGGUAGUCCGCACGGUAAACGAUGGAUGCCCGCUGUUAGCGCCUGGCGUUAGCGGCUAAGCGAAAGCAUUAAGCAUCCCACCUGGGGAGUACACCGGCAACGGUGAA
rnacentral:rRNA from 1 species